GCUCAACUGAUAGUCGCGUUCAAAACUGCCACUCUUGAGUGCAGUAGAGGUAGGCGGAAUUCCUAGUGUAGCGGUGAAAUGCGCAGAUAUUAGGAGGAACGCCAGUGGCGAAGGCGGCUACUGGGCUGUAGCUGACGCUGAGGCUCGAAAGCGUGGGUAGCAAACAGGAUUAGAUACCGUGGUAGUCCACGCCGUAAACGAUGAUUACUAGGUGUGGGGGGACUGACCCCUUCCGUGCCGGAGUUAACACAAUAAGUAAUCCACCUGGGGAGUACGGCCGCAAGGCUGAAACUCAAAGGAAUUGACGGGGGCCCGCACAAGCAGUGGAGUAUGUGGUUUAAUUCGAAGCAACGCGAAGAACCUUACCAGGUCUUGACAUCGAGUGACGAACUUAGAGAUAAGUUCUUCCUUCGGGACACGAAGACAGGUGGUGCAUGGUUGUCGUCAGCUCGUGUCGUGAGAUGUUGGGUUAAGUCCCGCAACGAGCGCAACCCUUAUCAUUAGUUGCUACGCAAGAGCACUCUAAUGAGACUGCCGUUGAUAAAACGGAGGAAGGUGGGGAUGACGUCAAAUCAUCAUGCCCCUUAUGACCUGGGCUACACACGUACUACAAUGGUGAUCAAACAGAGGGAAGCAACACAGCGAUGUGAAGCAGAACCCGAAAAAUCAUCUCAGUUCAGAUUGCAGGCUGCAACUCGCCUGCAUGAAGUCGGAAUUGCUAGUAAUCGCGGAUCAGCAUGCCGCGGUGAAUACGUUCCCGGGCCUUGUACACACCGCCCGUCACACCAUGGGAGUCGGUAACACCCGAAGCCAGUAGCCUAACCGUAAGGAGGGCGCUGUCGAAGGUGGGAUUGAUGACUGGGGUGAAGUCGUAACCAGGUAACCGUA
rnacentral:rRNA from 1 species